rnacentral:tRNA from 1 species
UCCAGGGUAGCCUAGUGGACAUGGCAUCUGCCCGGUAAGCGGAACAUUGUGAAUUCAAUUCCCAUCCCUGGAC